rnacentral:lncRNA from 1 species
UCAUAAUUGUUCACACAAUAUCCCUAGGCUCUAGGCCAUAUCAACAAAGGAUAUUAUGUUUACAACCCAAAAGAUAGGAUUAGCAAAGUUAAAUAUGUCAUCACGGGCUUAAUACAAUUCAAACGAAUAACCCGACCCGGUAAAACCUAAUCAGAGCAAUUCUAUACAACCCAUCAAAAAGAUAUAUAUAACAUAUAUCUACGGAGUAGUCUACGC